rnacentral:rRNA from 1 species
UACGGGGGGGGCAAGCGUUGUUCGGAAUUACUGGGCGUAAAGGGCUCGUAGGCGGCCAACUAAGUCGGACGUGAAAUCCCCAGGCUCAACCUGGGAACUGCGUCUGAUACUGGAUGGCUUGAAUCCGGGAGAGGGAUGCAGAAUUCCAGGUGUAGCGGUGAAAUGCGUAGAUAUCAGGAGGAACACCGGUGGCGAAGGCGGGUCUCUGGGCCGAAACUGACGCUGAGGAGCGAAAGCGUGGGGAGCAAACAGG